AUAAGGCCGAGGGAGAGAGCUCGAGCGGCGAAGGAGAGAGGCGGAGGAGAGAGGCGAUUCCGAGCUAUUCCACCAUUCGAUUUUGAUUUUGUCCUCCCUAUUCUCUUUGCCCCCGGCUGCCGAGUUGCAGGUGGCUGCUUAUGAUUUUCCCCUGGUAGAUGAGGCAUGUCUGAAUGUGUUCCAGGAAGCUCUCUGAAUUUGAUGCUUCUAUUACUGUGUAAUUUUACCCCCGAGACAUGUAAUGUAGCUCAAAAGUACAGUGGAUCAUACCCCCAGAAUUACAGUGUAACUACUGUGUAAUAGGUUUGCAGAACCUCACUGUCCCACCUUUUGCAGUGUAAUUCUGCCAUUUUUACAGUGUAAUUAACAUGCUUUACAGUGUAAUUCUCCCAUAUCUGUAAUUACUGUGUCAUUCUCCCAAAUACUGUGUUAUUUAUUGUUCGAUUA